rnacentral:rRNA from 1 species
GGCGGACGGGUGAGUAAUGCUUGGGAACUUGCCUUUGCGAGGGGGAUAACAGUUGGAAACGACUGCUAAUACCGCAUAAUGUCUUCGGACCAAACGGGGCUUAGGCUCCGGCGCAAAGAGAGGCCCAAGUGAGAUUAGCUAGUUGGUGGGGUAAAGGCUCACCAAGCCGACGAUCUAUAGCUGGUCUGAGAGGACGAUCAGCCACACUGGGACUGAGACACGGCCCAGACUCCUACGGGAGGCAGCAGUGGGGAAUUUUGGACAAUGGGCGAAAGCCUGAUCCAGCAAUACCGCGUGCAGGAAGAAGGCCCUCGGGUUGUAAACUGCUUUUGUACGGAACGAAAAGGUCCUGGCUAAUAUCUGGGGCUGAUGACGGUACCGUAAGAAUAAGCACCGGCUAACUACGUGCCAGCAGCCGCGGUAAUACGUAGGGUGCAAGCGUUAAUCGGAAUUACUGGGCGUAAAGCGUGC